GCCGGGUCUGGGGGGAGCCGCGGGGCCUGGGGCACAGCCCCGAGGCAGGUGAAGGUCCCCGGGGCACAGCCGCGGGGCACAGCCACAGCCUCAGCCGGAUCACGGUGCCCGCAGCCAGCCCCGAAGGGAAGCCGGGUGCCCGGGAGCAGGCACAGCCACGCCGGGACCCCUGCUCCCCCCACCCCCCCGGCCCUUCAGCCAGGCCGCAGGGGCCUUUCUGCCCCGCGGGGCAGGAGAAGCCUCGCUGCCCGGCUCCCGCCUGCGUGCUGCCCUCUGCCGCUCGCCGAGGCGGGGGGACGAGAGAGGAGCUCGGAAACGGGCCUGUCUGGAGCGCGUCCAGCAGCCUGUGCCUCCACAGAACCUGUCCAUGAGCUGAACGCCCGUGAGCCCUGCAGUCUUACAUCAGUGUGCCAGGCUGCCAGAACGCCCUGGAGCUCCUUCGUGCCUCUGUCUUGCUAGUAGGGAUGCUGCUCUCUUCCCAUCUUCCCAAGAAAUCCCCCUCAUCUGGGCUCUCUCUGGGGACCUGUGAGCUGAGAACAGCCUCGUGGUUAGAGCUGGGACCUCUGUGGAGCAGGGUGGCAGUGACAGCUUUUGCUGGGCAGGAACGUGCUGGAAUUUGCUCCUCGUUGGUCCUAAGAAAGUCUUGAUGAUGC